GUAUAAUAGUAGAUAACUCAAGGCAUGCUGAGACAUUAAUUAACAUUUUUGGAAUUUGGGAAAGUUUCAACAUCCUACAUUGAACAUGGACUUGAAGAUUCUGAUAAUAAUAAUGAUUUUAUGCAAUGUACUUGUAAUGAAUGUAAAAUAUGGCAGUAUAAAAGUAGAUAACUCAAGGCAUGCUGAGACAUUAAUUAACAUUUUUGGAAUUUGGGAAAGUUUCAACAUCCUACAUUGAACAUGGACUUGAAGAUUCUGAUAAUAAUAAUGAUUUUAUGCAAUGUACUUGUAAUGAAUGUAAAAUAUGGUAGUACGGCAGAUCACCUGAUGCAGGCAGAGACAUAAAUUCACAUUCCUACUACUUGGGAAAGUAUCAACGUCCUACAUUGAACAUGGACUAGAAGAUUCUGAUAAUAAUAAAGGUUUAAUGCAAUGUACGUGAAAUGAAUAUAGAAUGUAAUUGAUAGUCAAUUAAUAGUAGGAUAACAUAUAAUUAGUGUCAAAAAACCCUGAUCAUUAUGUUAAGAAAAUAAUUCUUAUUUACCAUCAUCAACAUUCAUAUAUCUCAUUAAAGCUGAUCCGUCAUAAACACUAUAAAACAUGGUUUUACAUAAUAAUUUAGACAAUUAUUGCUAAUUCAUAUUUUUUACUGCUUAUAAAAUACUCAAUUCUCAUGUUAGUGUCUUGAAACCUUGACUACAAGAUUGUGAAAAUGAUUCUUAUUAACCAUUAUUUACAUUCAUAUAUUUCAU